UUAGGUUGGUGCAAAAGUAAUUGCAGUUUUUGUCGUUACUUUUAAUUGCAAAAACUGCACUUACUUUUGCACCAACCUAAUAAUUUA
rnacentral:miRNA from 1 species